rnacentral:rRNA from 1 species
GACGAACGCUGGCGGCGUGCUUAACACAUGCAAGUCGAACGGAAAGGCCCUGCUUUUGCGGGGUGCUCGAGUGGCGAACGGGUGAGUAACACGUGAGUAACCUGCCCUUGACUUUGGGAUAACUUCAGGAAACUGGGGCUAAUACCGGAUAGGAGCUCCUGCUGCAUGGUGGGGGUUGGAAAGUUUCGGCGGUUGGGGAUGGACUCGCGGCUUAUCAGCUUGUUGGUGGGGUAGUGGCUUACCAAGGCUUUGACGGGUAGCCGGCCUGAGAGGGUGACCGGCCACAUUGGGACUGAGAUACGGCCCAGACUCCUACGGGAGGCAGUAGUGGGGAAUAUUGCACAAUGGGCGGAAGCCUGAUGCAGCAACGCCGCGUGCGGGAUGACGGCCUUCGGGUUGUAAACCGCUUUCGCCUGUGACGAAGCGUGAGUGACGGUAAUGGGUAAAGAAGCACCGGCUAACUACGU